rnacentral:rRNA from 1 species
GGGGAAUAUUGCACAAUGGAGGAAACUCUGAUGCAGCGACGCCGCGUGAGGGAAGAAGGUUUUCGGAUUGUAAACCUCUGUCUUCGGGGACGAUAAUGACGGUACCCGAGGAGGAAGCCACGGCUAACUACGUGCCAGCAGCCGCGGUAAUACGUAGGUGGCAAGCGUUGUCCGGAAUUACUGGGUGUAAAGGGAGCGCAGGUGGGAUGGAAAGUUGGAUGUUUAAUCUACGGGCUCAACCCGUAUCAGCAUUCAAAACUAUCGUUCUUGAGUGGAGUAGAGGCAGGCGGAAUUCCAGGUGUAGCGGUGGAAUGCGUAGAUAUCUGGAGGAACACCAGUGGCGAAGGCGGCCUGCUGGGCUCUAACUGACACUGAGGCUCGAAAGCGUGGGUAGCAAAC